rnacentral:lncRNA from 1 species
CUCACCUCACCUCUCUUCUUGUUCCACGGCCAUCAACGGCGGCACGAGUCGGCAACGAUCAACUGCGGCUGUAAAUUGACCACAAUCAUCUCUCUCUCUCGGCUUUGCUCAAAUUUGGCCGAUCUAUGCGCUUGCUUAAGCUUGGCCGAUCUAUGCUUGCUCAAUUACUCUUCCUAUAUUCAGUCGGAGUCAACUGUUUGACAAGAGUCGAAGUCCAAGGUUCUUUUUUACAGGAUUUGAGCUACUUCUUUUAUUCUUCUUCCAUGUUCACUGAUACGAAGCUUUGAUGUGGUGUUCUGAGAGCGGGUGGAAUUUGAGAUUCUCCUUUCUUCUCUAUAUGAAGGUGCUUGUCAUGUGUCAAGAAAAAUAAAAUUAUUUACAAAAGAUUAUUUUAAGGAGAUUUAUUAUUAUUCGUGGAUCGGGAAGCUCAAAAAAUUUUCUUAUGUAGACUCAAAUCAUUUCUAUAGGGCGAAGCAUAUGAAUGAUACAUAUUAUCUUUUUUUGGCCUUAUGUAUUGUUAUUUGCAGUGUGAUUUGGUCUAGCUUAAGAGCUUAAGCUUGCAGGCUGGAUUUGUCUGACAUGGAACAAUUUAAUUUGUUCAUCGUGAUGUUUAUAUCCAUUUUGUACUACUAUCAAUUUCAAUCAUGGCUAAUUUUUAUAUGUAUUUCUCGUGGACUCUCAGGUUCAGUGCACAAGAGGAUGAAGACGAUGGACACCCAAAUUUGAUGUGGAGAACAACUAUUGCAAAUGGUCCUUGAUUUACUUCUCCAAUUGACUUGAAUUGGUUUGACGCAAUUUAUUCAUAUUUUUCAAACCAGAAUGCCAACAAGU